CACGUCAGCGCGCUUUGCUGACGUGGCAGCAAAUCGCGUCCUAGAGGGCACGAUUUGCUGCCAUGUCAGUAAAACGCGCUGACGUGG
rfam:Gossypium hirsutum cultivar TM-1 chromosome 19, whole genome shotgun sequence